UACAGAGGUGGCAAGCGUUGUUCGGAAUUACUGGGCGUAAAGGGCGCGUAGGCGGUUCGUUAAGUCCUGUGUGAAAUCCCCCGGCUCAACUGGGGAACUGCACAGGAAACUAGCGGGCUUGAGUUCGGGAGAGGGAAGCGGAAUUCCGGGUGUAGCGGUGAAAUGCGUAGAUAUCGAGAGGAACACCUGAGGUGAAGACGGGUUGCUGGGCCGACACUGACGCUGAAGCGCGAAAGCCAGGGGAGCAAACGGG
rnacentral:rRNA from 1 species